ACAUAUAUUUUACCACAACACAUCACCCUUUUGUUAUUAACCGGCCACAAGAUUAUAGAUCGAUGAAGAAUCUCUCCAAAAUCUUUGAUCAGGACACAUCACUAAAUCCAAAAAUCCCAUUGGUUGCUUAUUAAUCUCAAAUCCGGUAGCUCAGUUGAUAUAUAGGCGCUCUUAUAAACUAGUAUUGUAGUGUAACAUAUGGUCGAUGAAGAAUCUCUACAAAGUCUUCUCUAUGAUCAAAUGGACAUUAAAUCAAGAAAUUUCAUCGAGUGCCUAUUAAUUAACACUCCUAUAAACUCAUCUUGAUUACAAAUUCAAGUUGGUGUAAUAUAUGGUCGAUAAAGAAUCUCUCCAAAAUCUUCUAUGUGAUCAGGUUGGUGUAAUACGAAGAAACACUCCAAAAUCUGCUCUUUGAUUAGGUACGUGCUACUAAAUUCAAAAAUCUCAUCACUUGCUUAUUAAUCUCAAACCUAAUAGCUUUGUUGAGUGGCACACCUAUAAUAAAACUCAUAUUUGCAUACAAGUUUUAAGUUGUACAAUAAUAUAUGGUCGAGGAAGAAUCUCUCCAGAAUCUGCUCUUUGAUCAGGAGGGCCACUAAACCAAAAAUUCAUAGCGAUUGUUCAUAGAUCUCAAACAUAAUAAUCGGAGUAUUAGUAAUUUUGUACGCUCAUCUUGCAUGCAUACAUUUGCCAACAAAGGAUCAAUGUCAUGGGCAUGAUUUCAGAAGAUCUGAAGGAAAGCUUCGAAACAUCAAUACAAUUAGACUAGGAGACAGAUUUAGGAAAAUUCAAUGUGUUCAACAAAUUCAUUACAUUCGAGUUGAAAAUAUGUAUUUGAAAUAUUAAUACAAGUAAAUUCUGAGGCGAGCAUUAUGUGAGUUCAACCAAUCAAUAAGAUCAAACUCAUUCUAAUA